rnacentral:lncRNA from 1 species
AAUAAUAAAUGCAGUGAUCUUGAGGGCUAAAGCAUGCUUUAGAGAUGGUGGAGAUAUUUUAGUGGCCUCAGAGUUGGAAACACUGGAAUUGAUUGAGAUAGUGUGAUACUACGAUUUUGUCUACAUUUGAUGGUGUGUGUUCUCUAGCUACCAGAGGAGCAAAUUGUACCACUUGUAAUGUGGAUGUAUAGCCCAUUUUCUAAUAGACUGGGAAAAAAACAUGUGGAUAUGGUUUUACAAUACAGGCUGCAUUAUGCUGAUAUUCUAGAAGUUAUUAACAUGUUUUGCUUUAUUUAGAAAAAUGAACAUCUAAAGAAAGGCAGCACAGGCUCCAUGCAUUGAAAUUCUGUGGCCCCACUUAGUCUCAACUNNNNNNNNNNNNNNNNCUUCUCCUUACAUCUUUUUCCUUUUGGUGCCUAGUAUUAAAAAAAAAAUGGCUUGCAUUUGGUCAUCUUACAAAGGAAAGGCAGGAGUAAGGUGGCCUUGGUGACCUGUUACCUGCUGCUUUUCAUUCUGGGGACUUAAGUGAGCAACUGCAGAGCUGUCUGUAUAUGGUAAUUCUGUUAUUAUAUUAAAAUAUGUGUCAAUAUUGCCAAAAAAUAUGCCAAAAAUCAGUUUAUGUGGAGCACUCAAGAAGGGCUUCCUGGAAAGAUUUUCACUUACCACUUAUGUUAAGAGUUCAAAGUAAAGUUUUAAAUAAUCUCUCUUGUGCGUGUCCAGCCUUUUUACUGUCGCAGAGCUUUUACAAUUGUUUCUGACUCCUGGGUGCUUGGCCCUUUUACUAGUACUCCAGCCUCCUCAUCCCACUUCCAACAACAAACACAUGGCAGUGUUGACUCCCACACACUUGCAGGCACAUUUGCAUCGUGGUGUCAGAAGAUCACAAGAUCAACAAGCAGGACACCAGGGCUGAGUUCUCUAAUUUUUUAAACUAGUUGCAUGGCUUGGACAAAUUUCCAUCUCUUUAAGGAGGUAUCCUAUUUGUGCAGUGACACAGAGCUUAGCAACUGUUUUAUUCUAUAUAUAAUGUGACUAAGUCAAAUUCACUUUAUUUCAGUACUUGGGUCAGAGGUCAACAGAAAAUUUAGACUAGAAUUUUUUCAAAUUUUACUAGUACAUCUGAGCCCUGGGUGGUUCUGAGGAAACAAAAUAGAUAAGGAUAAGAACUGUUAGUAUUAAGAUGUAGAUUUGCAAAAAAAAGCAACAGGUAUUUGAAAGCAAAUUUCCACUCUUCCAUCUAGAUCUGAAAGUCCCAUGGACAGAGGAGCCUGGUAGGCUGCAGUCCAUGGGGUCGC